rnacentral:rRNA from 1 species
AGUGAACGCUGGCGGUAGGCCUAACACAUGCCAGUCGAACGGCAGCACAGUAAGAGCUUGCUCUUACGGGUGGCGAGUGGCGGACGGGUGAGGAAUACAUCGGAAUCUACUUUUUCGUGGGGGAUAACGUAGGGAAACUUACGCUAAUACCGCAUACGACCUACGGGUGAAAGCAGGGGAUCUUCGGACCUUGCGCGAUUGAAUGAGCCGAUGUCGGAUUAGCUAGUUGGCGGGGUAAAGGCCCACCAAGGCGACGAUCCGUAGCUGGUCUGAGAGGAUGAUCAGCCACACUGGAACUGAGACACGGUCCAGACUCCUACGGGAGGCAGCAGUGGGGAAUAUUGGACAAUGGGCGCAAGCCUGAUCCAGCCAUACCGCGUGGGUGAAGAAGGCCUCGGGUUGUAAAGCCCUUUUGUUGGGAAAGAAAAGCAGCAGGUUAAUACCCCGCUGUUCUGACGGUACCCAAAGAAUAAGCACCGGCUAACUUCGUG